rnacentral:rRNA from 1 species
GAUGAACGCUGGCGGCGUGCCUAAUACAUGCAAGUCGAGCGAAUGGAUUAAGAGCUUGCUCUUAUGAAGUUAGCGGCGGACGGGUGAGUAACACGUGGGUAACCUGCCCAUAAGACUGGGAUAACUCCGGGAAACCGGGGCUAAUACCGAAUAACAUUUUGAACCGCAUGGUUCGAAAUUGAAAGGCGGCUUCGGCUGUCACUUAUGGAUGGACCCGCGUCGCAUUAGCUAGUUGGUGAGGUAACGGCUCACCAAGGCAACGAUGCGUAGCCGACCUGAGAGGGUGAUCGGCCACACUGGGACUGAGACACGGCCCAGACUCCUACGGGAGGCAGCAGUAGGGAAUCUUCCGCAAUGGACGAAAGUCUGACGGAGCAACGCCGCGUGAGUGAUGAAGGCUUUCGGGUCGUAAAACUCUGUUGUUAGGGAAGAACAAGUGCUAGUUGAACAAGCUGGCACCUUGACGGUACCUAACCAGAAAGCCACGGCUAACUACGUGCCAGCCGCCGCCGUAA